rnacentral:rRNA from 1 species
UACGUAGGCAGCGAGCGUUGUUCGGAAUUACUGGGCGUAAAGAGUGUGUAGGCGGUGCUCUAAGUUCGGUGUGAAAUCUCCUGCUUAACUGGGAGGGUGCGCCGGAAACUGGGGUGCUCGAGCGUGGGAGAGGAAAGCGGAAUUCCUGGUGUGAGCGGUGAAAUGCGUAGAUACCAGGAGGAACACCUGUGGUGUAGACAGCUUUCUGGACCAUUGCUGACGCUGAGACACGAAAGCGUGGGGAUCAAACAGG